rnacentral:rRNA from 1 species
AGCGAACGCUGGCGGCAGGCUUAACACAUGCAAGUCGAGCGGGCCCUUCGGGGUCAGCGGCAGACGGGUAAGUAACACGUGGGAACGUGCCCUUCGGUUCGGAAUAACUCAGGGAAACUUGAGCUAAUACCGGAUACGCCCUUUUGGGGAAAGGUUUACUGCCGAAGGAUCGGCCCGCGUCUGAUUAGCUAGUUGGUGGGGUAACGGCCUACCAAGGCGACGAUCAGUAGCUGGUCUGAGAGGAUGAUCAGCCCAACUGGGACUGAGACACGGCCCAGACUCCUACGGGAGGCAGCAGUGGGGAAUAUUGGACAAUGGGCGCAAGCCUGAUCCAGCCAUGCCGCGUGAGUGAUGAAGGCCUUAGGGUUGUAAAGCUCUUUUGUCCGGGACGAUAAUGACGGUACCGGAAGAAUAAGCCCCGGCUAACUUCGUGCCAGCAGCCGCAGUAAAAC